rnacentral:tRNA from 1 species
GCACCUAUAGCUCAGUUGGUAGAGCAGCGGACUCUUAAUCCGCGGGUCGUAGGUUCGAGCCCUACUGGGUGUAC